GGCUUAGGAUGAACGCUAGCGACAGGCCUAACACAUGCAAGUCAGGGGCAGCGACAAGGAGCAAUCUGAGGUGGCGACCGGCGGCACGGGUGAGUAACACGUAUGCAACCUGCCUGUAAGCGGGGAAUAACCCGUUGAAAGACGGACUAAUACCGCAUAAUACUAAAUUACUGCAUGGUAAUUUAUUUAAACAUUUAUGGCUUACAGAUGGGCAUGCGCAUGAUUAGCUAGUUGGAGAGGUAACGGCUCCCCAAGGCAACGAUCAUUAGGGGUUCUGAGAGGAAGGUCCCCCACACUGGUACUGAGACACGGACCAGACUCCUACGGGAGGCAGCAGUGAGGAAUAUUGGUCAAUGGACGAGAGUCUGAACCAGCCAAGUCGCGUGCAGGAAGAAUGUCCCUAUGGAUUGUAAACUGCUUUUGCAGGGGAAUAAAGUGCAUCACGUGUGAUGUUUUGUAUGUACUCUGCGAAUAAGGAUCGGCUAACUCCGUGCCAGCAGCCGC
rnacentral:rRNA from 1 species